rnacentral:rRNA from 1 species
AAACUCAAAUGAAUUGACGGGGACCCGCACAAGCGGUGGAUGAUGUGGAUUAAUUCGAUGCAACGCGAAAACCUUACCUACCCUUGACAUGUCAGGAAUCCUGCUGAGAGGUGGGAGUGCUCGAAAGAGAACCUGAACACAGGUGCUGCAUGGCUGUCGUCAGCUCGUGUCGUGAGAUGUUGGGUUAAGUCCCGCAACGAGCGCAACCCUUGUCAUUAGUUGCCAUCAUUCAGUUGGGCACUCUAAUGAGACUGCCGGUGACAAACCGGAGGAAGGUGGGGAUGACGUCAAGUCCUCAUGGCCCUUAUGGGUAGGGCUUCACACGUCAUACAAUGGUCGGUACAGAGGGUUGCCAAGCCGCGAGGUGGAGCCAAUCCCAGAAAGCCGAUCGUAGUCCGGAUCGGAGUCUGCAACUCGACUCCGUGAAGUCGGAAUCGCUAGUAAUCGUGGAUCAGCAUGCCACGGUGAAUACGUUCCCGGGUCUUGUACACACCGCCCGUCACACCAUGGGAGUGGGUUUCACCAGAAGUAGGUAGCCUAACCGCAAGGAGGGCGCUUACCACGGUGGGAUUCAUGACUGGGGUGAAGUCGUAACAAGGUAGCCGUAGGGGAACCUGCGGCUGGAUCACCUCCUUUCUG